AGGAAUGGAAAACCUACUUACAAGAGGAGACUGAAGGAGCUUGGCUUUUUUAGCCUAACAAAUCAAAGGCUCAGGGGCGAUACGAUUGCUUUCUAUAAAUACAUCAGAGGAAUAAACACCAGGGAGAGAGAGGAGUUAGUUAAGGGACAAUGUUGGCACAAG